UUAUUACUUACUCCCCAGCUGUAAGCGAUAAGAAUGUUAUGGAUUUUUUUGUGUUUUGUAACCUUCGUUUAUGGAUAUAUAAAUAAUGUUGAUAACACUGCACUGCGAUCGCGAUACCGUGAGGGCAGGCCAUGGACUAUCCAUGACUCGUGUAGUAGACGGAGGUCGUACGAAUGUAGAAGCUGGUGUAAGGACAAGAGCAAGAAACUUUAUUACUUGUGCAGGGACGACUAUUGCUACUGCGUGGAAACUUGGUACAGUGCUUAUGAAUAUAACAGAAGAGACAAUGGACGCAAAGAAACGGCACUGCAUCAACACUUUGGGCCCAAAAACUAUGCUGAUGAUUAUGAAGCGGUCUAAUACUGUGUGACGUUACAUUCAUCCAAAUAAAAUUUGAGUUGUUAUGU